UCUCUCUCAUUAAAGCAGCAGCGGAAGCAGGAGCUGCGGCAGCGAGGGGGACGCGUGCUCCCCAAGCCAUCUCCCUCCUCCCCCCUCACAGUCCCUCCUACCCAAACCCUAGAUCCCGUCUCCUUCCCCUUCUCCGCCAUUCCGAUCUCCCUCACCUCUCUCCCUUCGAUUCCUCCUCCUCCUCCGACGACGAUCUCUUCUUCAAUCGAUCCAGAUCUGCCGAAUUCUCCUCCGUAUCGAUCAAAUUCCAUUCUCUAUACGUAGAUUUCUCCCUCCUUUCCAAGGAUUUCUACUUCUUUUUGUCAAAAAAUCUCGCGUUCAAUCGUUUCAAUCCGAUCUCCAAGACUCAUUGCCAGUUCUCAAGGUCUGAUUCUGCGUUUCUUCUCUUGUUUAUUUUAAAGGAUGGUUGGAUCGAUUUUAGAGGCCAAAAUUUUACCUGCAUUGCCACUAGCUGAUAUCUUUUCGAUCACGAAUUCCGAUUUAUGACGGUCGUUCGAUCAUUGCUUAAGAAUUUCACGUUUUCUUGUUUGCCGGAUUCUAAGCUCAUUCUAUUUUUAUCCAAUCUGGGAAUGGGAUCGGGGUAGUGGGAGUUGUUAUGGCAGGGCAAUCGGGCAAUGCUAUGAUUUCCGAGAAGAUGCAGUUUCCGGUCGGCGGCGGCGGUGGCGGCAGCGACCUGCAGCCGCACCAGCGGCUGUGGUUCCCGGAUGAGCGGGAUGGAUUCAUCUCGUGGAUACGGGCGGAGUUCGCGGCGUCCAACGCCAUUAUCGACUCGCUGAUACAUCACCUUCGGGUCAUCGGCGAACCUGGGGAGUACGAUGCCGUGGUUGGGUUCAUCCAGCAGCGGCGCUGCAGCUGGAACCCAGUCCUCCACCUUCAGCAGUACUUCUCGGUCGCCGAGGUCGCGUACAGUCUGCAGCAGGUCGCCUGGAGGAAGCAGCAGAGGCGCUUUGCCCAGCCGAAGGUGGCGGGGAAAGAAUUCAGGAAGCCUGCGUUUGGUUACAGACACAAGUUUGAGAGCGCGAGGGAGAAUCGCAGCAGCUCAGCUUCAUCUGCUGGUUUGGACGCAGAGGGGAAGGGGGAGGAUAAGUUAGGAAAAGAGGGGGAGGAUAAGUUAGGAAAAGAAGAAGAUGACAGGCGAAAGGGCGAAGCCCAACUUCCAGACGGCAAUUGCUCUGUAGUUGCAGCGGAGGAGGGGUUGGAAAAGAAUUGUAGUUCCAUGACAGAUUGCCAAAAGAAAGAUGGAGAAAAGUCGCUUGGAGAUGAGUGUGUUAAGUUGGCGCCUGCAGUCCCUAAUGAUUGCCAGACUUUGCAGACUAAAGAGAAUUGCAACAGCAUGCUUCUCUGGAGUGGUGAAGGUACAAUGCCAAAUCAAGAUGAGAAACAGCAACCUAUUGCCAACCCCAAAGUUUUUGUUAGUAAUGAAAUGUACGAUGGAAAAAUGGUCAAUGUUGUUGAAGGACUCAAGCUUUAUGAAGAGUUAUUUGACCACAUGGAUAUUACAAAACUUGGUUCAUUGGCAAAUGACUUGAGAGCUGCUGGUCAUCGGGGAGAGUUUCAAGGGCAGACAUUUGUGGUUUCGAAGAGACCUGUGAAAGGGCAUGGAAGGGAAAUGAUUCAACUGGGCUUACCCAUUAUUGAAGGAUCUCUAGAGGAUGAAAAUUCUGCUGGGACUUCUAGAGACUGGAAGGUGGAAGCAGUUCCUAGCUUGCUGCAAGAUAUUCUUGAUUGCAUUGUACUGAAAGUUUUGACCGUCAAGCCUGAUUAUUGCAUUAUCGAUUUCUUUAAUGAGGGCGAUCAUUCACACCCUCACAUGUGGCCACCUUGGUAUGGCAGGCCUGUUUGUAGUUUAUUCUUGACAGAAUGUGACAUUGUCUUUGGACAAGUAGUUGGAGGAGACCGUGGGGAUUACAGAGGUUCUCUUAAGCUUUCUCUCUCAGCAGGAUCCCUCCUGGUGAUGCAAGGCAAAAGCGCAGAUCUAGCCAAGCAUGCCAUUCCCUCCCUCUGCAAGCAGCGUGUCCUUCUAACCUUUGGAAAAUCGCAGCCAAAGAAGACCUUUCCAUCUGAAGGUAUGCACUUCCCUUCCUCCGGUGCACCUCCACCCUCACAUUGGGUCACAUCAUCAGGUAGGCCCCCUAAGCAUUACGGAGUGAACCCCACUAGUGGUGUCCUACCGGCCCCUGCCAUCUGUCACCAACACUUGCCUUCCAAUGGAAUACAGCAGCUGUUUAUCGCGCCUGCUCCAGUGCCCCCUGCAGCUGUCCCCUACCCUGCGCCACUGCCUCCUGCAUCUGCUGGAUGGACAGUGGCUGCACCUCAAAUGCACACUUCUCCUCGAUUCCCUAUUCCUGGUACCGGAGUCUUUCUCCCCCCACCUGGCUCAGACCAGCCUCCCCCAUCAUCACACCAGCUCUCAGUAGUGCCAAUUCACACAGAAACUAGCACUCCUCUGCUCGCUUGUUUGGCACCUGAGAAUGAGAAUGAGGUGGAGAAACCGAACUGUAAUAGCAGUGCUUCUCCUAAGAAAAUAACAGAUGGAGUAGGACCAAGAAUGGAGUGCAAUGGCAGCUUGACUGUUGGUGCUGGUGUUGGUGGAAGUAAGGAAGAACAUCAGGCUGUUAGUGCUAAGAAGGUAGGAAAAGGAUGGAGUGCCAAAUUCUGUUCUCUAAGUACUAGCAUGAAGGGAUAAUCUGAGGAACUGCAUGAGUUUGGGGCAAAUGCAAAGAGCGGCAAACAAGUUGCUGAACUAGAACUUCACUCAGCAAAAAAACAGGUUUGAUACAUAUUUUUCGAAGUUUACUUGUUAAUUUUCCAGCUUCCCAGUUUGACAGCAUCGGUGAUGGAGAUGUAUAUGGUAAUAUCAGUGGCACUCUAUGAGAUGAUUUUUGUUUUCCUCUCGGAUCAAUGAUGCUACUAGAAAAAUCAGCAUUCUGCCACCACCACAAGAUUGCUAUGAGCUUC